rnacentral:rRNA from 1 species
GACGAACGCUGGCGGCGUGCCUAAUACAUGCAAGUCGAACGCUGAAGGAGGAGCUUGCUUCUCCGGAUGAGUUGCGAACGGGUGAGUAACGCGUAGGCAACCUGCCUGGUAGCGGGGGAUAACUAUUGGAAACGAUAGCUAAUACCGCAUAACAGUAGAUAUCGCAUGAUAUCUGCUUGAAAGGUGCAAUUGCAUCACUACCAGAUGGACCUGCGUUGUAUUAGCUAGUUGGUGAGGUAACGGCUCACCAAGGCGACGAUACAUAGCCGACCUGAGAGGGUGAUCGGCCACACUGGGACUGAGACACGGCACAGACUGCUACGGGAGGCAGCAGUAGGGAAUCGUCGGCAAUGGACGGAAGUCUGACCGAGCAACGCCGCGGGAGUGAAGAAGGUUUUCGGAUCGUAAAGCUCUGUUGUAAGAGAAGAACGAGUGUGAGAGUGGAAAGUUCACACUGUGACGGUAUCUUACCAGAAAGGGACGGCUAACUACGUG